rnacentral:sRNA from 1 species
AAAAAAGAAACUACUGUGUGUAAAAAACCUUUUCUCUCUCUUCCUUCUGGGCGAUUCUACAGCGAUCCUCCACCGACUUCCACCGCCUCAAUUUUCUGGUGAUCUCUUUGUCGUCCUAGUGCGGAUCUUACUCUCCGGUGUCUCUGCCGGUCCGUUCGUGUUGUUCUCUUUGACUGUUGUUGUCUUCUCUGAAUCCAUGGAUAAAGAAUUAUGGCAAGCGCUUCAAAAUUUAGAUCUAGGAUCUGAGAGAGCUCCUCUGAAGAUGUCAGCUGAAGCGAGGCGCUCGCGUGAUAUAGAUAAUCGUCUCAGCCUAAUUGUCAAAGGUCUAAACCCUCAACAUCAGAAACCAGCAGGACUUAAAGGUGCUUUGCCUAAAGCUUGGAGAUUGGAUGGAAGGGUUACAAGUAGAAUUAAUGAUGACGGUACUGUUCAAUUCUUCUUUAAGGCUGAACACCAUCUCAUGUCUGUCCUAGAAAAUGGCCCUU